rnacentral:rRNA from 1 species
GCGAGUCACAUAGCAAUAUGUGGCAUACGGCUCAGUAACACGUAGUCAACAUGCCCAGGGGACGUGGAUAACCUCGGGAAACUGAGGAUAAACCGCGAUAGGUCAUCACUUCUGGAAUGGGUAAUGACUUAAACCUAUAUGGCCCCUGGAUUGGACUGCGGCCGAUCAGGCUGUUGGUGAGGUAAUGGCCCACCAAACCUGUAACCGGUACGGGCUCUGAGAGGAGGAGCCCGGAGAUGGGCACUGAGACAAGGGCCCAGGCCCUAUGGGGCGCAGCAGGCGCGAAACCUCUGCAAUAGGCGAAAGCUUGACAGGGUUACUCUGAGUGAUUUCCGUUAAGGAGAUCUUUUGGCACCUCUAAAAAUGGUGCAGAAUAAGGGGUGGGCAAGUCUGGUGUCAGCCGCCGCGGUAAUACCAGCACCCCGAGUGGUCGGGACGUUUAUUGGGCCUAAAGCAUCCGUAUCCGGUUCUACAAGUCUUCCGUUAAAUCCACCUGCUUAACAGAUGGGCUGCGGAAGAUACUAUAGAGCUAGGAGGCGGGAGAGGCAAGCGGUAC